rnacentral:sRNA from 1 species
UCACCAUGCCUUACUUUUUGUAUGUGA